rnacentral:rRNA from 1 species
AUUAGCUUGUUGGUGGGGUAAAGGCCUACCAAGGCAACGAUGGUUAGCUGGUCUGAGAGGAUGAUCAGCCACACUGGAACUGGAACACGGUCCAGACUCCUACGGGAGGCAGCAGUGAGGAAUUUUGCGCAAUGGGGGCAACCCUGACGCAGCAACGCCGCGUGAGUGAAGAAGGCCUUUGGGUCGUAAAGCUCUGUCAACAGGGAAGAAGUUACAAUUGUUUAAUAGAUGGUUGUAUUGACGGUACCUGUGGAGGAAGCGCCGGCUAACUCCGUGCCAGCAGCCGCGGUAAUACGGGGGGCGCAAGCGUUAUUCGGAAUUAUUGGGCGUAAAGGGCGCGCAGGCGGUCUUGUCCGUCAGGUGUGAAAGCUCGGGGCUCAACCCCGGAAGUGCACUUGAAACAGCAAGACUUGAAUACGGGAGAGGAAAGCGGAAUUCCUGGUGUAGAGGUGAAAUUCGUAGAUAUCAGGAGGAACACCGAUGGCGAAGGCAGCUUUCUGGACCGAUAUUGACGCUGAGGCGCGAAGGCGUGGGUAGCAAACGGGAUUAGAUACCCCGGUAGUCCACGCAGU